AAGACCACCCCAAAAGAAGGGCAAUCCGCGCAAAAAAAUGUUCUUCAAACAUCAUCUAACAAUGUGUCCAACUCAAUUAUUCUCCUUCUUCUUCGUCUCUUUCCUUCUUCCUUUGUUCUCCUUUUUCAUCAACUCAACUAGAGCUGAUAAUAAUACGCCAUUUACAAGUUGCCCUUCAGGCUGGGUUCGUUUCUUCCUGAAAGAGGCCACAAUAGUGAGAUAUACUUUCCAUGUUGGGCUUAUCAACGAAUUUUGCUAGAUGAAGACUUAAAUAUAAGAGAUAUGAUGACCAAUGAAGAAGAAGAGAUUGCGGAGAAAAUGAUAUUAGUUGGUUUGUGGUGCAUCCAAACAGAUCCCUCGCAAAGGCCAGCCAUCUAUAAGGAGAGAAAUGAGGAGAAGGGCGUUAUGUAGUCUGAGUUGAGGCUUAAUUUAUUUCACUAAAAUGUAUAUGCUAUUUCUUGAACUUGAGAAGGAACUAAAUGGAAGACUACUUCUGAACUACCCUAAGAACAGAGUACCUUCUUUUACAUUAUGCUUGCAACCUAUGCCUCAUUUUUCUUUCUCACAGU